GCCGCUGUAGCUCAGCUGGUAGAGCGGUACUUUCGUAAAGUAUAGGUCAGCGGUUCAAGCCCGCUCAGCGGCUCCA
rnacentral:tRNA from 1 species